AUCCAACUUUGUGGUAGAAAGCAGUUGUGGCAAAAUUUUUGUUUUUUCAAUGGUGAAUCACAAGAGUAAAUUCCUUUUGACUAAAACGAAUAAUGUUAUACGUUUCAGCACCAAAGUCCUCGUUUGGAGCGAUAUCGAUGUCAUUGAAUGCGAUUGAUCGAUUGUCUCGAUUCUCACGCAAUAGGAACGCGUAGAGCUUCAUUCGCAUGUAAAUAGACAAUUCUAACCUAUCAUUUUUAUUGAAAAACUGUUUUUCUUCUGUAAAUUGAACUGCUGGAAGAACUAAAAGAAGCUGAAGAGACCCUUUAAUGCAACUCAGAAUGACCAAUUUAGAAAAGUAUGUAGGCCAACUAACCAAAACUUUCAGAUAUGUUUUGACACAAUAAGAAUAUAUCUGGACGAACCUGUGAAAACUAGUGGUUAGAAUUACCUUUGAUUGACAGCACAAGUACAUGUACAGAACUAGAAACUAUUUUGCAUAUAAGUAGAAGGUGUUCCGACGAAGUGAAACAAAUAGUGUAUCGUUCUCUCUCCUCCGAGCGCCUUACUUAUUUCUGCGCAACUUUUGCGCGCAUGAAGCAUGCGCAGUAUAGACAAAGUGUCUCGAACGAGAGAGGGAAUUAAUACCGUCUACACCAUACGUAGAGGAGUGAAUUGAGAAUUCCGGACCUGGUAUACAUGUCAAGUAUAUAAAUUAAUGUGAGAACAUUAACAGGUGGUUUUUGCGGUUGUCAUGUGAAGAUAGUAUAAUAAAAUAAAUUAAUAGAAAGUAGAGAAACACAAAUGUAUCUUGAAUAAGAAAAAAAGCAAUUUGUUGCGAUGUUUUACAAAGUGAAAGCAAUUUUAAACUGAAAAAAGGCCGGGCUAAUAAGUUACUUAAUUUUUAUCAAUUAAUCAAUAUUUCAAAUGUGCAAACGAAAGAAAGUUAUUUAUGUAGAAUUUGGUUGUUUUAAUUACAAAUUUUGACAACUGUCGACUAGUUUUCACCCAAAGAGAUUAUCAUAGAAUAGUUUUAUAAGUUCUUCCAAUAUAAAUUGCAGAUUAUAAAAACCCUUGCCGGCAAUUUUGUUUGAUCUACCAUAGGCGUAGAUACCUCAUUUUAUAAAUUUAUUAUUUUUAUAAAUACUUUUAAAAAUAUGUAUAUCUUAUGCGGGAAAGUAUUCGUUUAAGGGCAAUCGAAUCAUUAUAAAUUGGACAGCAUGAUACGCUCGUUAUUUAGACAAAUGCACUUAAAUGCAGUCCUACUUGGAAUUUGGAAAAAAAUCAUUAUUAUACCUCGUUAACUUGCUACAACUGAAUUAUAAAUUAUAAAACGUAAAUAGAUGAGUAAAAUGUACCUGCCUGUAAGGGCGUUUGGUUUAAACAGGGUACCAGACGUGAACUGACCCCUUUUGUGUGAACUAUCCUUAACGAUUCGGUUAUUACCAUCCGUUUAUUCAGUUUUUUGUAUUUAAAACCACAUGCUGACAAAACUUGACGCAAUAUUUCUAAACAGGUAUAAUUGUAUUCUGGAUAAUUUGCUACCUUUUGCUGUAUUACUUCUAAUGCAAUCCUGUUCUCUUAAUUAAACUAUAAACUUGAGUAGCUUUGUCAACUGAUUUUAGUUUUUCGUUUCCGUGAAUGACCCACAGCAACCCCUUUCGUGACUACUCGAUAAAUAGAAAAUUUAUUUACUCUAUUUAAUUCAGCAAAUGUUAUUAUGAUUGCAUUAUCAGAUUGCUGAAUAUUUUCCAUUUACUAAAUAACGCCGUAUUUAUAUUUAUUUAAAGAAAUUUAUCGUAGACUGUCUAUCAAAAAUAUUUCAAAGGAAUUGCGUUCAUACGCCUUCAGACAGCUUCGGCCAAUAGAAAUGCAUUUAUGUUUACGAUGUUUUCCUUGGUUAACAGUGGAGAUGAUGAGUCCAUGUGGACUGACGGUUUGUUAGAUGUUUACGAGGGGUAAACAUUAUUUUUCAUUUCUUAAUUUAGUAUUAGUGCCGUGCGUUUUUAUGAAAUAUUGAUUGAUCCUCGUAUAACUGUCUUCUGCAAUUUAUAUUGGAAGAACUAUAAAAUAAAUUGUCUGGCAAUUUUCUGGUAUGGUAAACCUGUUUUUGUAUUUAUAAUUUUAGUACUUUUUUAUAUCAGUGGCAAUAAAUUUUUAAAAUAUAAUCUUAAAAUCCAUCUUAAUUAUACCAAAUGAAAUAAUUUAUUAUAGUGGUCUAAAAUAAAUAAUUCCAAAAACAACUUUUCGACUAUUAAAGACAAAAUAUUUGAAAGCCGUUUUUACCGGAUUUAAUAAAAAAAAAAUAACUGAAUCCUGAAUAUAAAUUUUUUUUAUCUAAUGUCUUUUCCAUAUCUAAGAAUUCUGUUUAUUUGGUCCUGUAAGUUUAAUAUUUCUUUUAGUUAUUAUCUGAUAUUUGAUAGACAAAGAGCGAGUAUAUAAAUAAAUACGAGGUGUGCUUAAAAAGUAGUAUUUAUGCCAUCAAUUUUGAGUCAGUACAAAGAAUUCUUUCCGUUAUAAUUAUCUGUAAUUAUUUCACCAAACUACUUCGUAUAUUAAAUCAUUUCAUUCCCUUAAUAAUUAUUUUUUAAGGGUGUAGGAUGGCUUAUCAGAACUAUUAAGACUUCAGUUCAAUUUUUUUUCAAAAAUUACUGAAUAUACAUUUGCCUAUAGAUUUCUCUUUAAGUAUUAAUGAACAGAGUAUGUAAAAGAUAGUCAUCGAUAUAAAAUUUUAAAUAUAUAGUGACUUUAGCGACCUAAAUUCUUGUAGGUUUAAUAAAUUAGCAUUAAAAAGCUAUCACGUUGUGUACAGACCACCAGAAAUUGCAUUUGCUCAAAGUAUCUUAAAACAAAGUCUAUUCAAUGUAAACAAUGCAUCGAUAAUUGAAAAAGAAAACAAGCUGUAAAGUAUUCGACUGCGAAACAAUCUUUGAUUGUUUUCCAUCAAAUAGAUAUAAAUGUCAUUAAUAAAAGUAACAGUAAUAGUCUGUAGACUUUUAACACAGAAGAACUUUUACCUAUUAGCUGAUUCUGGAUCCUUACUCAGAAUGAUAUCUAAAGUUUGUUCUUGGUAGCUGCACUGGCAGAACUAGUUCAGGAAUUGUACACUAAAGCGUUCUUUGUAGCAGAACCAGUGCUAGUGUUGCUGUUCUUAGUAGCAGUGCAAAAGAACAAGUUCACUGUAUUGCUUGCACUGGGUCUAGAGUCAGUUCAGCCAUUGCAGUGCAAUAAUAAGUCGUUUUACAUGGUUGUUAAUACUACAAGUCACAUUAAAUAAACUCAAAUACAACAUUCAACAAAUACUACUCUGCACUGUAUCGUUCUUUGUAUCCGAUCGAACUAAUUAGAAACACUCAUGAACUGGCCUGCACUGGCUCAGUUCAGUACAGUUCCAGUGCAGUUACCAAGAACAAGCCUCUAGAUUACACACAUUUUUGGUGGGAAUUUCAAAUUUCAAACUGAUUAGUUUUCGAUCAACAAUGAACGCGAGCUGCAUUGGAUACGUCGCCAGGUUUUCAAAGAAAGAAUUUAUGUCAUAAAAAAGACAGUGACAUCAUUUCAUUAAUUUUUAAUAGUUUGAUAAUGAAAUU